GCCCCAGACUCCUACGGGAGGCAGCAGUGGGGGAUAUUGCACAAUGGGGGGAACCCUGAUGCAGCGACGCCGCGUGGGUGAAGGAGUAUUUCGGUAUGUAAAGCCCUAUCGGCAGGGAAGAAGCAAGACGGUACCUGACUAAGAAGCCCCGGCUAACUACGUGCCAGCAGCCGCGGUAAUACGUAGGGGGCGAGCGUUAUCCGGAUUCACUGGGUGUAAAGGGAGCGUAGACGGCCAAGCAAGCCAGGGGUGAAAGCCCGGGGCCCAACCCCGGGACUGCCCUUGGAACUGCUUGGCUGGAGUGCGGGAGGGGCAGGCGGAAUUCCUGGUGUAGCGGUGAAAUGCGUAGAUAUUAGGAGGAACACCAGUGGCGAAGGCGGCUUACUGGACGGCAACUGACGCUGAGGCUCGAAAGCGUGGGGAGCAAACAGGAUUAGAUACCCGGGUAU
rnacentral:rRNA from 1 species